AGAGUUUGAUCAUGGCUCAGGAUGAACGCUAGCUACAGGCUUAACACAUGCAAGUCGAGGGGAAACGACAUCGAAAGCUUGCUUUUGAUGGGCGUCGACCGGCGCACGGGUGAGUAACGCGUAUCCAACCUGCCCACCACUUGGGGAUAACCUUGCGAAAGUAAGACUAAUACCCAAUGACGUCUCUAGAAGACAUCUGAAGGAGAUUAAAGAUUUAUCGGUGAUGGAUGGGGAGUGCGUCUGACCUUAGCUUGUUGGCGGGGUAACGGCCGACCAAGGCGACGAUCAGUAGGGGUUCGUGAGAGGAAGGUCCCCCACAUUGGAACUGAGACACGGUCCGAAACUCCUACGGGAGGCA
rnacentral:rRNA from 1 species